UUUCCGUAGGUGAACCUGCGGAAGGAUCAUUACCGAAUUUAAUUCCGGGGUUGUAGCUGGCCAUUAUUUUAGCAUGUGCACGCCCUGGUAAUCCAAAUCAUUUAUACCUCUGUGCACUAUUAUGUGGGAUUGAUGAGGCUUUGGUGCUUGCGCCAAUGGCAUUAUCAUUCUCAUGUUUCACAUACACUCUUUAGUAUAGAAUGUUAUUGCGUUAGACGCAUCUUAAUACAACUUUCAGCAACGGAUCUCUUGGCUCUC
rnacentral:misc_RNA from 1 species